ACUGGCCUCCAUUUUCCGAGCCAUAUCCACUAUGGCAUGGAAGCUCUCCCUAUCUGCUGACUGGAUCAAGGAGGAAUAUCUAGAGUGGAGUUUCAUGAUAUACCUCCUUGAUCUUUUCUGAUCCGUGUCAAGGUUUUGCCCUGCAAAUGGCAACAGCUCCAAGAAUCUGUCUGUGAACUCCUCUACACUCAUCUCAUCAGUCUGCCUCAACUGCUCAAACUCUAUCAUCU
rnacentral:lncRNA from 1 species